UUACUCUGAUCUCUCAAUUGUCGAAUAAAUCUUUCGCCUUUUACUCAAGAUUUCCGUGGAGAGGGAUACUCUAAUGAGUCUGAAUAAAUUUUUGUUCUCACUCGAUCUUUAAUUGAA